GUAAACGUUUUUAAUGUUAUCAUGAAUCAAUGUUAUAGUUUUGUAUGUCACAUUAUUUUUUGAGAAGAGUCAUGACUGAACGCGGACCUUACACGCUGUUAUUUUUUUGUGUGCGUAUGGCCAAGGUACAGUGCGCUCUUUUGCACUAUGACCAGCCAUCAGUAAAUCGAAAUACAGUAAAAAAAUGAGCGCGAAACCCUGACACUUUACAGAAAGGCACGGAUAUCCCCGCCCGAAGAAAAAAGAGCACAGGACAAUGGUUGCAAGUUAAACAGCUGGUAAGUAAAAUGAGUAAUCCUGUGAUUUCUUAACAUAUUUAAUUUUUUAUUUGGUUAAUUAAUUUGAAACACUUAACAACACGCAGUUAACGGUAAUUUACCUCACACGUUAGGACUGUUGUGACUAAACAGAUAGGGAGAGAGCUUUGUGGUGAAAACUCUUUUUAAGACUCAACAAAACUUUCGGUGCAAGUUAUCAUAUUUAUUUCUUUUCCUUUUUAGAACAUUUCACCAUCUGCAAAGAACAUUUCACCAUCAACAUAUUAACAUAAACGGUUCUCUUUUUCUUGUUUGACUGCGUUUGGUACAGGUCACAACAACGACGGCAGAUGUAGAGACCACGCUUUCCCUUGCUUCCACUCCACGGCUGAUCAUGCUUGAGGGUCCAGAUCUACAAAACAAAAAAUGGAUGCUGCCGAUUGAAGGCUAAGUCCGAUUUCCUGCGAUUGACCUACCAUUUCUUCAGCAUUUGCUGUUCACUUUGGUUGCUACUACGUGCUCAACAUCGAGUACCAAGUGCAAGCAGCCACUACUUUGGAGUUUAUUCAGAGAUUUAUUGUGAGGAUCAGCCCCGACAACAGCAAGUGCUCCUCUAACUUCCAGGUGAGCAAAAGAAGUGGGAAGAUGGUGCAAAGGAAAAACUCUGGCCUGAACCAUCAUGUAUAUAUCCACCUUUAUUAAGGACUUUAUGAAUUAAGCAAAACUAUUAAGCAACUAAAGCAAAUACAUUCUACUCAACUCACCAGAGACGGUUUCAUCGGACGCACAUGACACACGUCUGGAUCCGAUCCUUACUUCCGGUUUCGCUUUUUUAAUGGUCUGACUAGUUGCUAAACUGAUCUCUUGAACAAAAGCCUCGUUGAAAAUAACAAAUGUUUUGGUUUCCGAGCUAAUCUAUGUGUUGUUUUUUUGCUUGUUAUAUAAAUAAAAUGCGUUUAAAGAACUUUGUUGUUUUUUAUUCUUAGCGGAGUUUAUCGGAAGUUCAUGCGGACCGCGACAGCCGCUUGUUUAUGAUGUUACUGCUGAAACCGUCUAUAGUUAUAACUGAAUUUGUACUAGUAUUAUUUGAUAAUACUGUGAAAUGAAACAGUGAGUAAAUGUUACAUUGGCUUUGAAAAAGCUGUUGCUGCAAGAAAUUACAAUUUACUCAGAAUAAUAUUUUGAAUGUAUAAGUUUUUGACAUUGCUUAUGACUGCAUUUGAAUGUAUAGUUCAUGAAUUGAUGCUGUGAUAUGUGUGUGUAAAUGUUUUGUAUUUUACUCAGGAAAGUAUUUUGUAUUUGAACAUUGUUAUUAUGACUGAGUUAGUUCAUGACUUGAUUUAAAAUUCUGUAAUAUGAUAUCUAUGAGUAAAUGUUAUUGCAGGUUUAAGAAAAACAGUUUGUGAUGCAAGCUGAAAGUUCAGUGUGCAAAAAAUAUGAAAAUCUGAUUUCAUGUAUUUGAAAAACUAAAAGAAAUUUUAAAAACAUGUUGUCAUUGCU